GAGGAUCAUUAUCGAAAAAGCAAUCCGGGGGGAGGCGACCGAGCGAAGUUUGGUAGAUCGUAGGGAUUGUCGCUGGCCUUUGGAAACGAAGGCAUGUGCACGUUCCGAGUUCUCCUCAGUCCUCCUUUGCCUUUCCUUUGGACGACCUUUCUUCACACCCGUGCACCCAUUGUAGGUCUCCGCGAGGGGAUCUAUGUCUUCAUAAAACUCUACGUAUGUCUAGGAAUGUAUCUAAAGCGUCGACCGGCUUGGCUCGAUGCCUGGUCGGCGACGGUAAAGAACGAAAUACAACUUUCAGCAACGGAUCUCUUGGCUCUCGCAUCGAUGAAGAACGCAGCGAAUUGCGAUAAGUAAUGUGAAUUGCAGAUUUUCAGUGAAUCAUCGAAUCUUUGAACGCACCUUGCGCUCCUUGGUAUUCCGAGGAGCAUGCCUGUUUGAGUGUCAUUUAAUUCUCAACCAUCCCUCGAUUCGUUUCGAGGUUUGGCUUGGAUUUUGGGGGCUGCCGGGCGACCCUAGGGUCUUCGGCUCUCCUUAAAAGCAUUAGCGAUGGUGGAACGAUCUAACUCCAUGCAUGAACGGCCUUCGACGUGAUAAUGAUCGUCGUGGCUGGGGAGUGCUAGCGGRCGUCGUGAAAUUGGCGCUUCUAAAUCUCGUCGAAAGACGAAACUCGAAACUUGACCUCAAAUCAGGUAGGACUACCCGCUGAACUUAAGCAUAUCAAUAAGCGGAGGAAAAGAAACUAACAAGGAUUCCCCUAGUAACUGCGAGUGAAGCGGGAUGAGCUCAAAUUUUGAAUCUGGCGGUCUUCAGGCCGUCCGA
rnacentral:rRNA from 1 species